rnacentral:rRNA from 1 species
GAUGAGCGCUGGCGGCGUGCCUAAUACAUGCAAGUCGAGCGAACAGACGAGGAGCUUGCUCCUCUGACGUUAGCGGCGGACGGGUGAGUAACACGUGGAUAACCUACCUAUAAGACUGGGAUAACUUCGGGAAACCGGAGCUAAUACCGGAUAAUAUAUUGAACCGCAUGGUUCAAUAGUGAAAGACGGUUUUGCUGUCACUUAUAGAUGGAUCCGCGCCGCAUUAGCUAGUUGGUAAGGUAACGGCUUACCAAGGCAACGAUGCGUAGCCGACCUGAGAGGGUGAUCGGCCACACUGGAACUGAGACACGGUCCAGACUCCUACGGGAGGCAGCAGUAGGGAAUCUUCCGCAAUGGGCGAAAGCCUGACGGAGCAACGCCGCGUGAAUGAUGAAGGUCUUCGGAUCGUAAAACUCUGUUAUUAGGGAAGAACAAAUGUGUAAGUAACUAUGCACGUCUUGACGGUACCUAAUCAGAAAGCCACGGCUAACUACGUG